UCCAAAAUAGGGCUCACUAGUCUAAAAUCAUGGUUAUCAGCAGAGCCGUGUUUCUUUCUGAAGGCCUCAUGGGGGAAUCUUGUUUUCUUCCUUUUUCCAGCUCAUAGAAGCCUCUGGCCUUCUUUGACUAAUAGCAUCCUUUCUCCAUAUUUGGAACCACCAGCAUCAGGGUGAGUCUUUCUGAUUCUCCCUCUUCUACAUCUCUUAAAUUUACGAGGACCCUUAUGAUUACACUGGGUCCCACCAGAUAAUCCAAGCUAAUCUCAUGAUUUUGUGAUUAGUUGAUGUGCAGCUUCAAUUUGAUCUGCAAACUUAAUGACAUUUUGUCGUGGAAGGUAACUCAUUCACAGGUUUUAGGGGUUAGGAUAUGGCUCAUCUUGAGGGUGGAAGGGAGGAUUUUCCUGCCUACCACAAAUUUCGGAAAUAAAAUAUGGGUAGAAGACAAUAAAGAGUGAUGUGUAUUGUACAACACUAUAUAUUGCUGUAACACUAUAUGUUUGCUUUUUUUGUAAAUCACCGAGAUUUAUUGUCUCACAGUUAUGGAGGAUAGAAGUAUAAAGUCAAAGUGUUUGCAGAACCGGUUCCUUCAGAGAGCUGCACAGUUGAAUCUAUUUCGUUUCUCUCGCUUAGCUUCUGGUAACCUCAGGUAUUCCUUAGUUUAUAUGUUUUGAUUUGUUUUUAAAUGCUACUGCUACAUAUUGCUUAUGGGUAUGUACAUAUGUAUUAAAAGUAUAAAAACAUGUAUGUGAAAGAUAAACACAAAUUUUAGAUGAAAAACUGCCUCAGGAGAAAGGCAGAUUGGCAGAGGACUCUACAGGCAUUUUAAUUACUUAGCAGUGUUUGAAAGAAAAAAACAGUGAGAAAAUGAGAUAUAGAGUGAAUAUAUCAAAACUAGAUUGGCGAAAGAUUGAUAAUGCAAACAUGGAUGUUUACUUUGUUUUUCUCUAUGCUUUCUGUAUUUUUGAAAUAAUUCAUCAUUUAAAAGAAAAUAAUUAUGUGCAACCCCAUGACACUGUCUCAUUCAGAUGCCCUGUGAAUUGACCAAUCCCAGGGAGAUUUUAUAUCAAGGAACUUGACUCCUUUAUGCCCCAUGGUCUAACAGAAAACACACAGGACUGUGUCCAAGCCCCAGGGACUCCUACUAACUACACGGCCACAGACAAGUCCCUUCACCUCUUGCUUUUCUGUUGCAGGUAGGUUUAAGGGUCAGAAGAGACGAUACCUAAGAAAGUCCUGUGAAAAUGUUUAAACUAGCGGCCACCGUAGAAAAAUUACGACAAGAGAACAAGUGACAAGAAAACAUUUUCAAGCACAAAAUAUAUUAUGUUAAAAUAAAAUUCUAUGGGGAAAGCAGAGUGGAAAUAUUGAUUCAGAGAGAUAAAAGAACAAUGCAAAACUCUUGUCUGUUUAAAAAGAGCUCAUCCAAGAGCUUUUUUAUGAAGGCAGAACCACCUAAGCCUUUGAGAGAAGAGAAGACUGACAGCAGCCUCCUCUGGUCCUGAGGACACAUCUUCUCCACAGGGAUCUUGCGCUGCUGUCAACACCCAGCACCCAGCAAGCCAAGAGCCCACCCACAGCUGCUCUCUCAGGCAAAGGACUGCAACCCAGAUCUGGCCCAAUAUGAAAUGAAUUGAGGGGAAGCUGCAGAACUGGAGAGAGGGCUGGCAGAGAGCAGAGCAUUUCUACAUGGAGAGCAGCUACAGAGCAUCACUAAGGUCAACACAUUACUUACUUCCAUGUUAUUGCCAUCAACACAGUUAUUGGGACCUGCAUUCUUAUGAUACAAAGAAAACUGUAACUAUCAAGUUUCAAAGUAAAGAUUAACAGACUCAAAACCAAGAAAACCUUCAGUGUUUUAAGAAUGCAAUGUUUUGCUGACAUAUUCAAAGAAGAUAAUCAGAAGAUAAAUGUCUAACAUAUUCAAAGAAGAUAAAUGUCUGCAGUUGCUGCCGCGAUGGGUGCAGAAUGCUCUGUGGAUCUUUGUACUCUGGGAUUCAUCACAGCUGCAUACACGUCAUUAGACAUUUAAGACUAUUUUAUUUUAUUUGUCUUUUUGCCAUU